CUGGCAGGUCCCAGUCGCGAAGGCGGGCGGAUGCGCAGGCGUCUCCAGGGUCCCAGGGUCGGCAGAGCCCCCCCAGGGCAGCCCGGAGAGGACCCGGUCUAGGGCGCUCUGUGCACCGCUCUGGGCGCCUGGGACCAGCCUGAAAAUAAGUCAUCCCUGAACUGGAUGAGACUUGCAGGGUGGGGACCAUGCAGGCAGACACACUGCAGAAACUGGUAAAGUACCCGGUGUCUGCCCUCCAGAGCAGACUACUGUGUCCCGCCUCCCUGUCUAUCUACUGAAACUUCUCCAGCACCCAGCAGGUCACACCUGCUGUGGAAAAGCUCCAGCACCAUCUCCAGAGUGGCUCUGGCUCCAGCAUCAGUUCCUGUAGCAUCUCCUGAGCCAGAUCCAGCUGUAUAACUACGGAGCCCAAGCCCACAUAGAGCCGGAGGCACUACUGUCACUAGAUUUGAUGCCACCUCCAGCAGCAGGUCCAGAGCCAAAGCCAAGUGUACGACCGAUUCUAACAGCAAUUCCAGAGCUAGAGGCCACUCCAGGAGAAGCUCAGAGUGGCCUUGUCUUCCCACGUGUGGAACAGGAGCUGCACCUGGAGCCUCCCUCCACGCCAGCUCCAGAGCUACACCCAGGACCAGAGCUGGCCUCCUCUCCCCUCUGGUGGUAGCACUUUUUUUUUUUCAUUUUUCUUUUUAUAUUUAAAUUUAAAAAAAACCACAUUUGUUAAAAUUUAAAUUCAGUAUGAUGCAACCUUUAAAUCAUUUUAAACUGCAAUUUAGAGGCAUUAGCAUUUCCCUAUGCUGUGCAGCCAGCCCCACCGUCUAAUUGCAGACUGUUUUCAUCUCCCCAAGAGGAAAGCCCACACCCAGUGGUCACUGCCUUCCCUUAGCCCCCAGCAAUAGCUAACCUGUUUUGUCUGUUUCUUUACCUAGUCUGGAUUAUUCAUACAAAUGGAAUCAUACUAUGUGGCUUUUUAUGUAUGCCCACAUAUUUUAAGAAGGACUCAUCUUUGCUUUUCUUAAAAUUUAAAAUAGCACUUUUUUAUUUAAAAGACAAAUCCCAGAUGAAAAAAAAAGAUUAUAUGUGAAAACUGAAGCCCUUAUAGUAGAUAUGUUCAAAAUCUGGGGCAGGGUGGAAGUGGGACCGCUGUUCUAAGUGUCACCAGGAGCCAUAAAGAAACAGCUGGCUCUUUGGUGGCCAUCUGAAACAAGGAAAACAUAUCCAGUGGAAAGACAAAAGGAAACUAGAACAGCAUUCCUCAGAACCUGAGGACAGAGAAAGGUUUAACACACUGAUGGUACCAAAAACUCUGAAAAAACAGUUUUAAAGGGAUCCAGAAAUGAAACAUGCUGUGCAAACGGGAAGCAGGGCACGUGGCCUAAAUGCCAGAAUGGCCAACUCCCUGCUGAGGGCACACACUGCUAGCAUGUCACCACUGAAGUAUGGUAGCAGUCAUGUCAGGUAGAAACUAUAGUUUAACUUUAACCCUGCUGUUUGGCUUCUGUACUUAUUUUCUUUGUUUAACAAUAGAAAAGUUAUUUUGAUUUUCUGAAUUAUAUAAAUCAUCCCAUUCGAUUGAAUACCCUAUUGAUUGUAAUGUGAAUAUCCCAUUGGCUGUGGUCACAUUCCUCAGUACCUUGGAACCAGGACAGCACAAUUAUCCCAAGACCUGAGGGCUCCAGAUAAUGUGUUCCUGUCAACUUAGUGGUCCCAAGACCCGAGGGCUCUAGAUAAUGCGUUCUGGCUGAUUCAUUGAUCCCAAGACCAGGACAGCACAAUUACUCUAAAUUGCCUUGAUGGCUCUAGAUAAUGUGUUCCUGUCAACUCAGUGGUCCCAAGACCAGAUGGCUCCAGAUAAUGUGUUUCGGUUGAUUCAGUGAUCCGGAGACCCAAAACUAUAAUUAACAUGCUUAAGUCUGCUUCUGUAAACUGCUUUUUUGCAAACUAGGUUCCUCAUUCCAAACCCUGGGAUGUAAUCGAUACCUUUGUGAUGUUUGCCUAUCUAAAUCUGGUGGUGGGCCUGGGGAGGGCACUGCGAGAUUUGGGAGAGCGAAAUGCCCCCUCGUAGUCCCAGAUUUGCAAUAAAAAUGACUCUUUAAUUCGA